UUUGCGGACUAGUUCCGACGCGACAUGCGUCAACUGCAUCACGCUGUCGUCCAUCUUUUUGGCGAACGCCUUGAAGGAGUCAAUGCGCUCCUCCACGUCCUGAAGGUCCUGGUGCUCGUUGGGAAUCUGGAAGUGUGGGCAAGCAACCCUGACUUGCUGCCGGACACGUAAUCUUACUGCUGACGAUGAAGCUGCUGGGAAUCGAGGCACUUCUGCUGUAGAUGGAGGUACUUGUGAUGGGAAUGGAGCUACUUCUGGUGGAGGUCCUUCUACCGUGGAUGAAGGUACUUCUGCUGUAGAUGGAGAUGGAGGUGGUGGUGCUGCUGGCACUAUGUGUGGAGACUGUCUGUCUGAUGUAUUUUUACAAGUUGUUAUAUGUUUAAUCAGAGCAUCCUUUCUGAUUAAUGUUGACUUGCAGUAGCAGCAGUGAAAAUGUGGCGUUUGUCUGCAGCCUAGACCACACUUGAUGAUGACAAAACCUAGGUAAAACAGAGAAGGGGAAAAAGCAUCAUAAAAGAAUAAAAUACAUUUUCUUCAGAUAAUAGUCUACAACUGUGAGGCUAGGGAAUAUUAAUCAUUUGUUGAGCAAUUUACAUAUUGUGACAAAGUUUGUGAAUCCAUUUUUUUCUCCACAUAUUUUAGACACUUCAAAAUGGCAUCUUCAUCUAUGCUUCAUUUUCUGAAAACAUCGAUUUGCGGCGAGAACGGUACUACCACUGACCCAACGUAAUGACGUAAUGAUCAACGCGGAAGAACAAAACCCAGGUUGAUGGGUCUUUUGAGGGAGAAAUGACCAGAAGGAUUGAAUUGUGUAAAGACAUUUAAAUUAAUUCACACGUACCUUCCCGUUGAACAGCAUUUCGAAGAUGAUUUGUAACAUGAUUUUGUGCCUGGUGUAAAUGUUUAUGCAGCAUCUUACAGUAGUCACAGUGGUACAUGUUGCAGCAGCUUGAGCAUUUCUCAAUGGAGAGAAGAGGAUCAUGUCCUCGCCUCAGUACUGUCUGAUGCAACUGUGCAGGUGUGGGCAAGCAACCCUGACUUGCUGCCGGACAUGUAAUCUUACUGCUGAUGAUGAAGCUGCUGUGGAUGGAGGUCCUUCAGCUGGAGUUGGAGGAGCUGCUGCUGUGGAUGGAG